rnacentral:rRNA from 1 species
AACGUAGGACACAAGCGUUAUCCGGAGUUACUGGGCGUAAAGGGCGUGUAGGCGGACGUGUAAGUCUAUUCUGAAAGCUCCUGGCUAAACUGGGAGAGGCGAAUGGAGACUGCAUAUCUAGAGUGAGGAAGAGGAGACUGGAAUUUACGGUGUAGCGGUGAAAUUCGUAGAUAUUCGCAAGAACACCAGUGGCGAAGGCGGCUCACUGGCCCGGUACUGACGCUGAGGUGCGAAAGCGUGGGGAGCAAACAGGG